CAGCAGCCGCGGUAAUACAGAGGGUGCGAGCGUUAAUCGGAUUUACUGGGCGUAAAGCGCGCGUAGGUGGUUCGCCAAGUUGGAUGUGAAAUCCCCGGGCUCAACCUGGGAACUGCAUCCAAAACUGGCGAGCUAGAGUAUGGUAGAGGGUAGUGGAAUUUCCUGUGUAGCGGUGAAAUGCGUAGAUAUAGGAAGGAACACCAGUGGCGAAGGCGACUACCUGGACUGAUACUGACACUGAGGUGCGAAAGCGUGGGGAGCAAACAGGAUUAGAUACCCCCGUAGUCCCUGUCUCUUAUAC
rnacentral:rRNA from 1 species